GGGACUGUGACUUUAUGACAGUUUGAUUUAUAUAUUAUUGAGAAAGUUUUGUCACAGGCAGAACAAUCAGUAGCCUGCACCGACAAUCACGUACCCGAUGCGCGACACCAACACUGACAGCGACAGUGACACCUCGAGCGCGCGCCCCACUCCCGACUUAUAGACUCCGAUGCCGGGGACACGUUACGCAUACCCAGCAGCCGGCAUUGAAUUGAAAUUCAUUUUUAAUGCGCACUCGAUGGCAUCAGUAUAAGUUACCGAAAGGAAGCUGCAGUCACACCGAUCCCGGUUCCACCAUAGUACUGGGACCCCGCCAAGUAUCACUUCCAGCAGCGUAACCCAUAACCCCUAGUUCCAUCUUAGAAAGUGAGGAUGCCUUCGCUCGUUAACAGUCGUGCUGCUGCCCCGAUUCCUCCCCCAAUCGCUGUCUCGACCCACUCUCUGAGUUACUUUUUGGCAUGGAAAUUAAUUAAAAAAGUUUUCAAUCAGUCUUCGAAUGUGUCAGUGGCGUGAAAAGGAGA
rnacentral:sRNA from 1 species